GCAGAGGUGGUUCAGUGGUAUAAUCCUUGCUUUCCAUACAGGACACCCAGGCUCGAUUUCUAGCCACUGCA
rnacentral:tRNA from 1 species